AGACUCUUGCUUAAGAGAGUUGUGCCUGGUGUGUUUUUCUAACGCCAGUGAUGGUUUUCCUCAUGCUCUCAUUGAUGUACUGGGAUUUCCUGAGUGUAAACUGGAGAUACUGAGGUUAUCUGGGUUUUCUCUAGACUUUAGGAAUUGUCACAUUCUGGCCUCAAUCCUUCAAU